ACGAACGCUGGCGGCGUGCUUAACACAUGCAAGUCGAACGGAAAGGCCCUGCUUUUGUGGGGUGCUCGAGUGGCGAACGGGUGAGUAACACGUGAGUAACCUGCCCUUGACUUUGGGAUAACUUCAGGAAACUGGGGCUAAUACCGGAUAGGAGCUCCUGCUGCAUGGUGGGGGUUGGAAAGUUUCGGCGGUUGGGGAUGGACUCGCGGCUUAUCAGCUUGUUGGUGGGGUAGUGGCUUACCAAGGCUUUGACGGGUAGCCGGCCUGAGAGGGUGACCGGCCACAUUGGGACUGAGAUACGGCCCAGACUCCUACGGGAGGCAGCAGUGGGGAAUAUUGCACAAUGGGCGGAAGCCUGAUGCAGCAACGCCGCGUGCGGGAUGACGGCCUUCGGGUUGUAAACCGCUUUCGCCUGUGACGAAGUGUGAGAGACGGUAAUGGGUAAAGAAGCACCGGCUAACUACGUG
rnacentral:rRNA from 1 species